AGCAAAUGUUUGCUCUGCUGUCAUGAGGUUAAGUAGAGGGUUCAAUUCUCGAACCUUGGAAGGAUGGUAAGUUGUCUGACAGUCUGUUCGUACAUGAUUUUUAAUGUGCAAUUAAUUCAUGGCAGUCAUCAUUAUUAUUAUAUAUAUAUAUAGCCUCCUCUGAACUGAAACAAACUCCUGCAUCCUCCUCUCAACAAAUUCCUGCAUCCUCCUCUCAACAAACUCCUGCACGUGAGGCUCACCAGAGCAGGAAUGUGAGGCAAACAGCUGCAGUUACAUUGAAGAAAUAAUUGUAUUCUCCUGCCAAGUUGUGUAGGUCUCCCAAGAAGAAGCGAUGCACGAGACCACACCUCUCACUUUCUUUGAAUGGAUCACCUUCAAGUUCUGAGGCAGAAUUACACACCUCUCAACAGAUCACCUCUCAACAGAUCACACCAAUUACAUCGGACAAUGAUGAAGUUGAGUUUACUACACGGUCCGACGGUAUUGAGCAUUCCUCACUACUUAAUCCUCAAAAGAAGAGAAAAGAGAGAGCUCUGCCGACACCAAGAGGAGUUUUUACUAGCACUCCAAUUAACAAACAUUCUGUGGCUGCUCUCAAUCAAUCAAUUUCUCCAAUCUGCCACAAGAUUAAACCGAGAAAGCUACAAAAACAUUUUGAGGGCAGUCGUCAUGAUGCAGAUGAAAAGACCUCCAUUUCAUCCAUUACUCAAAGGCCACAUCAGGAUCCCCCAAUGCUUUAAUUGCAGCAAAAAGUCUCCCCUGAACAACAGAUCAUAGCUAUUGAAGUGGUUGACUCGGUCAUCAAACUCAAGAAAAUACCAGAAGACGAGAAACACUGCCAGCAAAAUUAAUGUGGAGGGAAAUUUACGAAGAAGGGAAAACGCAUGUGGGUCGGGUGUGAGGCUGACUCAUGCUGGCGAUGGUAUCACUACACCUGUGUAGGUUUGAAGGAGCUGCCUUUCGAGAGCCAAGUUUGGAUAUGUCCAAGCUGUCAUCCACCAGCUGGAAAGUUAUCCGUGAUUAACUGAAUAAUGCCAAAACUAAUUGUACGGUAUAUACUAUUAUUAUCUAUUUACCCAGUUAUGGUCAUAAUUACAUGCAUAAUAUGUUUGAUUUGUGGCAUUAUAAUUAUUAUAA